AUUGAACGCUGGCGGCAUGCCUUACGCAUGCAAGUCGAACGGCAGCACGGGAGCAAUCCUGGUGGCGAGUGGCGAACGGGUGAGUAAUAUAUCGGAACGUGCCCAGUCGUGGGGGAUAACGCAGCGAAAGCUGUGCUAAUACCGCAUACGAUCUAAGGAUGAAAGCGGGGGAUCGCAAGACCUCGCGCGAUUGGAGCGGCCGAUAUCAGAUUAGCUAGUUGGUGGGGUAAAGGACCACCAAGGCGACGAUCUGUAGCUGGUCUGAGAGGACGACCAGCCACACUGGGACGGAGACACGGCCCAGACUCCUACGGGAGGCAGCAGUGGGGAAUUUUGGACAAUGGGCGCAAGCCUGAUUCAGCAAUGCCGCGUGCAGGAAGAAGGCCUUCGGGUUGUAAACUGCUUUUGUACGGAACGAAACGGUCUUGGUUAAUACCCUGGGCUAAUGACGGUACCGUAAGAAUAAGCACCGGCUAACUACGUGCCAGCCGCCGCCGUAA
rnacentral:rRNA from 1 species